GGACCCGCACAAGCGGUGGAUCAUGUUCUUUAAUUCGAUGAUAACCGAUAAACCUUACCAGGUCUUGACAUCCUUGGAACUUUUUGGAAACAAAAAGGUGCUUUAUUGAACCAAGUGACAGGUGAUGCAUGGCCGUCGUCAGCUCGUGUCGUGAGAUGUUUGGUUAAGUCCAUCAACGAGCGCAACCCUUGUCAGUAGUUGUAUUUUUUCUACUGAGACUGCCCCGGUAACGGGGAGGAAGGAGGGGAUGACGUCAGGUCAGUAUUUCCCUUACGUCCUGGGCUAGAAACGUGAUACAAUGGCUAGUACAAUGCGCAGCGAAGCCGCGAGGUGAAGCAAAUCGCAUCAAAGCUAGUCCCAGUUCGGAUUGUAGGCUGAAACUCGCCUGCAUGAAGUCGGAAUCGCUAGUAAUCGCAGAUCAGCAUGCUG
rnacentral:rRNA from 1 species